rnacentral:rRNA from 1 species
AGAGUUUGAUCCUGGCUCAGGACGAACGCUGGCGGCGUGCUUAACACAUGCAAGUCGAACGGAAAGGCCCCUUUGGGGGUGCUCGAGUGGCGAACGGGUGAGUAACACGUGGGUGAUCUGCCCUGCACUUCGGGAUAAGCUUGGGAAACUGGGUCUAAUACCGGAUAGGACCAUGGCCUGCAUGGGUUGUGGUGGAAAGUUUUUAAUGGUGUGGGAUGGGCCCGCGGCCUAUCAGCUUGUUGGUGGGGUGAUGGCCUACCAAGGCGACGACGGGUAGCCGGCCUGAGAGGGUGUCCGGCCACACUGGGACUGAGAUACGGCCCAGACUCCUACGGGAGGCAGCAGUGGGGAAUAUUGCACAAUGGGCGCAAGCCUGAUGCAGCGACGCCGCGUGGGGGAUGACGGCCUUCGGGUUGUAAACCUCUUUCACCAUCGACGAAGGCCUGCUUUUUGGGUGGGUUGACGGUAGGUGGAGAAGAAGCACCGGCCAACUACGUGCCAGCAGCCGCGGUAAUACGUAGGGUGCGAGCGUUGUCCGGAAUUACUGGGCGUAAAGAGCUCGUAGGUGGUUUGUCGCGUUGUUCGUGAAAUUCCCUGGCUUAACUGGGGGCGUGCGGGCGAUACGGGCAGACUGGAGUACUGCAGGGGAGACUGGAAUUCCUGGUGUAGCGGUGGAAUGCGCAGAUAUCAGGAGGAACACCGGUGGCGAAGGCGGGUCUCUGGGCAGUAACUGACGCUGAGGAGCGAAAGCGUGGGGAGCGAACAGGAUUAGAUACCCCCGUAGUCC